rnacentral:lncRNA from 1 species
UCUCUCUCUCUCGUUGCGUGCGCGCGCGCGCACACAAACGUCGCCGCUGCUCUCUCCCACUUUCUCUCCAUCAGACGCUUCUCUCCUCUCUCUCGUCUGACCGCCGGCUUCUCCGUCUGAAUCUGUCGUCGUCUCCGGUGAGCAAGGGUUCCGAUUCGCGCGAUUUAGGGGUGGUUCGCCCAGAUCUGAGGUGGCGCGACCCCAUGGCCGCCGUCUCUCUGUCUGCGCCGCGACCCCAUGGCCGUCGUCCCCUCUAUCUGCACCGCGACCCCAUGGCCGCCGCCUCUCUGGUCUGCGCCGCGACCACCGCCGACCCUUUCCUCUCUCUGAGGGUGGCGCAAUUUGGGGGUGAUUCACCUAGAUCGAGGUGAGGCUGAUGAGCUCUAGUUCUCUCAGCUUAAGCAAAAUCGUUGGAAGAGGGGUCAGGAGCAAGGGCUGGAGCCAGAAGGGAGUAGGCGGCGGUUCAGAAAGGAGUACGCGGCGGCGGCGGCGUCUGGUUUUGGGGCGAGAAACAGGGCUGAAAAUCUAAGCCUGGCCGCGAUUUGGGGGCCUAGGGAUCCAGUUGGAGCGAGCGGCGGAAAAUCGAGACAUGGGGCCGUUGAACAUCGAAGUCAGGGAGGGUUAGCGGCGGUGGGACGACCGCCGGCGCCGUUUGGUUUUGAUUGGGGUCUGAUUUGGUUUUGAGGAAAUUGGGGUCUGAUUUGGUUUUGGUUUUUGAUUUUUUUGGUUUUUUUUUGUGACAAACGAACUUGCAUAGCCAGAAAAUUUGGGGCGAUUGUCGUCGUCGGCGGCGUCGCGGUCGCCGGCGCCGGCGUCGCCGUCGGCCGGAAAAUGAGGAAGAAGAUACAGAUUUAGAUUAAAGAAAGACUUAAUUAUCUCUUUAAUUUUGUUGGACCACACUUAAUCUCCACUAACUAUCUCUUUCUUAAUCUUCG